GAGAGAGGUCCGAUGACACCAGAGAUUGCUAAUCUUUGUCCCCUUGGUUUGACCCCAGGGCUCCCUCG
rnacentral:tRNA from 1 species